ACAUGUAUAUGAAAGUUCUCAAAGACUUUGUGAGAAAUCCUGCGAGACCAGAGGGGUGUAUUGCUGAGUGUUAUCUAGCCGAAGAAUGCAUUCAGUUUUGUAGUGAAUUCUUAAAGAAGUCUACAAAUGUACAGGAAAAGCGAAAAAAAGGAGGUAUCAAGGAAAAUCAGAAGUGUAAGUUAAUGGAUAUUAGGGGAAGGAAGCGGGUUGUUGCUGAAGGACGGGUGCAUUCAACUGAUCCAGAGCAAAAGGUACACUGUGUUCGCUUGGGUCCUAACGCUGUGCAAAUUUGGAUAGAUAUAGUCAAGGUAAAUGACGCAGCGGUUUGAAGGCCAUCAAAGGAGAUUGAGUAUAUGAGAGAUGCACUUGGUUCAUCUAUCGCAUGGCCAAUUGAUCAGUUGGUCAUCUAUGAACUGUUCUAAACUGAUGCUUGUGCUUUUGGGGAUGAAGCAACUUUGGUCCAGCUAGUUUAAGACUAGUCUUAUGUAUUUUGGAUUUCGAAUGUUUUAUGUUUUGCAUUUUGGAUUUGGAAUGUUGGAUUCGGAAUGUUUUGGA